AAUUCUCGACGACAUGAGCUCGGCGCGGUAUGUAUAUCGUUGGGGAAAAUUCUGAUCCGCGUGUUUUCUCGACGCUUUUUGGCGCCUUCAGUAGUUGUAGACGACAAGUAGCGUCGAGAUUUUCAGUCACAUGCUAGGCACGUGGUAGAAUAAUCUUCUUAUCAGGAAAAUUUGGGGGAAAAACCCACUCCCACUCUCGUAUAACUCUCAUUCUCAUAACUGAACCCUAGCCUCCCACUACUCAUAUUCUCUCUCAUCAAUCUAUGUUCUCAAAGAAUCACAGAUUUACCUCUCAAUUGGUUUCAUCGACAGAUCGAGACUGUAUUCGCCAUUUUUCCUAUGAUUAAAGUUUCGUCGAAGUUGAUAGGUGCUGCUAGUGCAGUGGUAGAGGGUAAUCUAGAAGGCAAAUUUUGCAGAGGCAAGUAUCAAACUCUGUCGAGGUAAAAUCCGACAGCCAAUGUACCAAGGCCUAACCCUCAAGGUUUUGCCACUUUUUAUACCUUGUCAAAAUUUGCAGAAAUUGACAAGAGAGAAAUGGAUGACUGCCAUAAAGCCAAGGUUGCUAGAAAGGACAUCGAGUUGGGAUCCUAUAAUUUGAUUUGACACCCCGUUUCUUCUCCACCAUUGAUUAUAUAUAUGUUUUUAGAUAUUUUUUUUUCUAAGUAUUAGGUUUUAUAUGUACGUGAGGUAUUUUUUAUGUAUCACUACUACAAAAUGGAGGUUUUGUCGACGAUUAUGGCUCGACACCCGGGGUAGAGCGUUGGCCUAAACUUUUAGUUCCGCGUUUUCUCGACGACAAUAACCGUCUAAAUAUUUGUUGUCCUGUUUUGGCGUCGUGGUUGCCACAUGCUUCGCACAUGGGUCUUAGUUUGGACGUUGCAGGUCGCGUAUUAACUUUUGGGUAAAAAAAAUUGAACUGUGUUUCUCUUUCUCUUUCUCUCUCUCUCUAUCUCUCAACCCUAACCCCAUUACUCCGUCACGUUCUCUGCCUCCAUAGUUGUAGAUCUACUCCUAAGGUUGAAUUGUUGUGUCAAUUUUAAGAUAUACGAUAGGUUGUAAGUGUAUCCAGAGACUUUAAGGUAUUCAUUUCUCUCCCACGUUCUUAAUUUCAUGGAUUUUUAUGUUUUUAUUUCAAGUGAAAUUUUUUGUUCUAGAUCUUUGAAUUGAGGUCUUCGGUAGUGCAAUUGUUCGUCUUUUCUCUCAUUUUCAGUUCUUCUAGUUGUUUGGUAUGUGAUUAAUUCUAUGUUUUGAUUUGUGUACCUUUUAGGUUUUCUAUCCUAAAACCUAAAGGGCGAUUCACUAUGCAGUGUUUUUGGAAGCUAAAGGGCGAUAAUUGAUGCUCAGAGAGUGCAUCUUAUGAGGAUUUCAAGGUCUUUUCUCUCUCAUAAUAUCCCGUCUACAUCACACCGCCUGUUGUUGCUUCUUUUACUCUAAAAAUAAUUAACUUGUUAUCUUAUGAAUUUGUGAGAUUGUAGGAAUGCUGAUCCUUUUGAAAGCCUGAAGAAUGCGCACGCAUUGUUUCUUGAUAGGAUGUCAGUUAUACAUAAGACAUGUUCUAUUCAUCAGAACCUAUGUCAACUAUGUUAUGGAUAUUGCUUCAAGAGGACUCUCAAUUUCUGCUGUUGGUAUAUAUAUUAGCAUAUAGGAAGAACCUGGGCUUGGAAGAUUUUCCUAAUAGUUGACUUUGGCUUUCAAGAAGACAUACAUAGAUGUCUUUGUCGGGGAAGCCAAGGCUGAGGCAAAUGCGAGUUUUCAUGAAAUUCCAGCUAUUUUUCAAAUGCGAAAUUCAGAAGGGAAACGCUGAUAUAUCAGAGAGCCAAAGCUAGGGGUCAUCCGGAAGAUCACUAUCUGUUGGAGAAGACUUUCAGAGUAUUAUCUUUGGAAUUCAGAUUGUCCAACGUGAUGAAGGUGCACUGGGAGAAUGAAGACUGGACACUCGAGCUUCAUAUACUAGCAUUUUUAGGAUUUAGUUUCUUUUGGCUUUAGUUUUUCUUGGGUUUAGUAGUUACAAUUUGUAUUUACGAUGAUGUUUUGAAUUCUUUGGAUAAGAGUUUGGUUAGUAACAUGCACGUAUUGUCUAUAUGGAUUUUUGUUAGUAAUGUGCAUGUACAAUGUAUUUUAACUACUGCUUGUAAGUUAAUUUAAAGUAUGAUUGAAGAUAUU